UGAGAGGGUGAUCGCCCACACUGGGGCUGAGACCCGGCCCAGACUCCUACGGGCGGCAGCAGUAGGGAAUCUUCGGCAAUGGGGGCAACCCUGACCGAGCAACGCCGCGUGAGUGAAGAAGGUUUUCGGAUCGUCAAGCUCUGUUGUAAGAGAAGAACGUGUGUGAGAGUGGAAAGUUCACACAGUGACGGUAACUUACCAGAAAGGGACGGCUAACUACGUGCCAGCAGCCGCGGUAAUACGUAGGUCCCGAGCGUUGUCCGGAUUUAUUGGGCGUAAAGCGAGCGCAGGCGGUUUAAUAAGUCUGAAGUUAAAGGCAGUGGCUUAACCAUUGUUCGCUUUGGAAACUGUUAAACUUGAGUGCAGAAGGGGAGAGUGGAAUUCCAUGUGUAGCGGUGAAAUGCGUAGAUAUAUGGAGGAACACCGGUGGCGAAAGCGGCUCUCUGGUCUGUAACUGACGCUGAGGCUCGAAAGCGUGGGGAGCAAACAGGAUUAGAUACCCUGGUAGUCCACGCCCUCAACGAUGAGUGCUAGGUGUUAGGCCCUUUCGGGGGCUUUAGUGCCGCAGCUAACGCAUUAAGCACUCCGCCUGGGGAGUACGACCGCAAGGUUGAAACUCAAAGGAAUUGACGGGGGCCCGCACAAGCGGUGGAGCAUGUGGUUUAAUUUGAAGCAACGCGAAGAACCUUACCAGGUCUUGACAUCCCAGUGACCGCUCUAGAGAUAGAGUUUUUCUUCGGAACACUGGUGACAGGUGGUGCAUGGUUGUCGUCAGCUCGUGUCGUGAGAUGUUGGGUUAAGUCCCGCAACGAGCGCAACCCUUAUUGUUAGUUGCCAUCAUUCAGUUGGGCACUCUAGCGAGACUGCCGGUAAUAAACCGGAGGAAGGUGGGGAUGACGUCAAAUCAUCAUGCCCCUUAUGACCUGGGCUACACACGUGCUACAAUGGUUGGUACAACGAGUCGCAAGUCGGUGACGGCAAGCAAAUCUCUUAAAGCCAAUCUCAGUUCGGAUUGUAGGCUGCAACUCGCCUACAUGAAGUCGGAAUCGCUAGUAAUCGCGGAUCAGCACGCCGCGGUGAAUACGUUCCCGGGCCUUGCACACACAACCCGUCAA
rnacentral:rRNA from 1 species